UACGUAGGGACCGAGCGUUGUCCGGAAUCAUUGGGCGUAAAGAGCGUGUAGGCGGCUUGUUAAGUCUUGCGUGAAAUCUCGGGGCUCAACCCCGAGCGGUCGUGAGAAACUGGCAGGCUAGAGUGCGGGAGAGGAGAGUGGAAUUCCUGGUGUAGCGGUGAAAUGCGCAGAUAUCAGGAGGAACACCGAUGGCGAAGGCAGGUCUCUGGGCCACUACUGACGCUGAGAAGCGAAAGCAUGGGGAGCGAACAGG
rnacentral:rRNA from 1 species